AGUGAACGCUGGCGGCAGGCCUAACACAUGCAAGUCGAGCGGCAGCGCGGGGGCAACCCUGGCGGCGAGCGGCGGACGGGUGAGGAAUUCGUCGGAAUCUGCCUUUUUGUGGGGGAUAACGUAGGGAAACUUACGCUAAUACCGCAUACGUCCUACGGGAGAAAGUGGGGGACCGCAAGGCCUCACGCAGAAAGAUGAGCCGACGACCGAUUAGCUAGUUGGUGGGGUAAAGGCCCACCAAGGCGACGAUCGGUAGCUGGUCUGAGAGGAUGAUCAGCCACACUGGGACUGAGACACGGCCCAGACUCCUACGGGAGGCAGCAGUGGGGAAUAUUGGACAAUGGGCGCAAGCCUGAUCCAGCCAUGCCGCGUGUGUCAAGAAGGCCUUCGGGUUGUAAAGCACUUUUGUCCGGAAAGAAAUCCCUGGAGCUAAUACCUUCGGGGGAUGACGGUACCGGAAGAAUAAGCACCGGCUAACUUCGUG
rnacentral:rRNA from 1 species